UUGAGCAACAAACCUUACCUUCGAAACUCGAAAUGCGUUUUUCACUUUUAAGAAUUUGUUCAUUCUCUGUAAAGUUUUUCACUUUCCUUAUCCUUUUAAAUCGAUGUGAUGGAUCUCUGGAACCCAAUGGAAUCAACGUUUGUUCAAGAUCUCAGAGCUUUUCACAGUCAUAUGCGCAAUCUUACCAGCUGAGUUGGAAGAA